GACGAACGCUGGCGGCGUGCUUAACACAUGCAAGUCGAACGGAAAGGCCCUGCUUUUGUGGGGUGCUCGAGUGGCGAACGGGUGAGUAACACGUGAGUAACCUGCCCUUGACUUUGGGAUAACUUCAGGAAACUGGGGCUAAUACCGGAUAGGAGCUCCUGCUGCAUGGUGGGGGUUGGAAAGUUUCGGCGGUUGGGGAUGGACUCGCGGCUUAUCAGCUUGUUGGUGGGGUAGUGGCUUACCAAGGCUUUGACGGGUAGCCGGCCUGAGAGGGUGACCGGCCACAUUGGGACUGAGAUACGGCCCAGACUCCUACGGGAGGCAGCAGUGGGGAAUAUUGCACAAUGGGCGGAAGCCUGAUGCAGCAACGCCGCGUGCGGGAUGACGGCCUUCGGGUUGUAAACCGCUUUCGCCUGUGACGAAGCGUGAGUGACGGUAAUGGGUAAAGAAGCACCGGCUAACUACGUGCCAGCAGCCGCGGUGAUACGUAGGGUGCGAGCGUUGUCCGGAUUUAUUGGGCGUAAAGGGCUCGUAGGUGGUUGAUCGCGUCGGAAGUGUAAUCUUGGGGCUUAACCCUGAGCGUGCUUUCGAUACGGGUUGACUUGAGGAAGGUAGGGGAGAAUGGAAUUCCUGGUGGAGCGGUGGAAUGCGCAGAUAUCAGGAGGAACACCAGUGGCGAAGGCGGUUCUCUGGGCCUUUCCUGACGCUGAGGAGCGAAAGCGUGGGGAGCGAACAGGCUUAGAUACCCUGGUAGUCCACGCUGUAAACGGUGGGUACUAGGUGUGGGGUCCAUUCCACGGGUUCCGUGCCGUAGCUAACGCUUUAAGUACCCCGCCUGGGGAGUACGGCCGCAAGGCUAAAACUCAAAGGAAUUGACGGGGCCCCGCACAAGCGGCGGAGCAUGCGGAUUAAUUCGAUGCAACGCGUAGAACCUUACCUGGGUUUGACAUGGAUCGGGAGUGCUCAGAGAUGGGUGUGCCUCUUUUGGGGUCGGUUCACAGGUGGUGCAUGCCUGUCGUCAGCUCGUGUCGUGAGAUGUUGGGUUAAGUCCCGCAACGAGCGCAACCCUUGUUCACUGUUGCCAGCACGUUAUGGUGGGGACUCAGUGGAGACCGCCGGGGUCAACUCGGAGGAAGGUGGGGAUGACGUCAAGUCCUCAUGCCCCUUAUGUCCAGGGCUUCACGCAUGCUACAAUGGCUGGUACAGAGAGUGGCGAGCCUGUGAGGGUGAGCGAAUCUCGGAAAGCCGGUCUCGGUUCGGAUUGGGGUCUGCAACUCGACCUCAUGAAGUCGGAGUCGCUAGUAAUCGCAGAUCAGCAACGCUGCGGUGAAUACGUUCCCGGGGCU
rnacentral:rRNA from 1 species